rnacentral:rRNA from 1 species
AUUGAACGCUGGCGGCAGGCCUAACACAUGCAAGUCGAACGAGUGGCGGACGGGUGAGUAAUGUCUGGGAAACUGCCCGAUGGAGGGGGAUAACUACUGGAAACGGUAGCUAAUACCGCAUACCAUCGGAUGUGCCCAGAUGGGCUUAGCUAGUAGGUGGGGUAACGGCUCACCUAGGCCACGAUCCCUAGCUGGUCUGAGAGGAUGACCAGUCAGACUGGAACUGAGACACGGUCCAGAUUCCUACGUGAGGCAGCAGUGGGGAAUAUUGCACCAGGGGCGCAAGCCUGAUACAGCCAUGCCGUGUGUAUUAAUAAGGCCUUCGGGUUGUAAAGUACUUUCAGCGAGGAGGCGUUACUCGCAGAAGAAGCACCGGCUAACUCCGUGCCAGCAGCCGCGUUAAUAC